GACCAGAAGAUCAAAUUCUUUAACGUACAUGGUUCUUGCCUUUUACCAGAGCCAUCCGGGAUUUGUCUUCAUACAAUGGUCUAUCCUAGUUUUUGGAAACCAAAUU
rnacentral:snRNA from 1 species